UACGUAGGGUGCAAGCGUUGCCCGGAUUUAUUGGGCGUAAAGGGCGCGUAGGCGGCUCUGCACGUUCGUUGUGGAAUCGCCCGGCUCAACUGGGCGGGGUCAGCGGAUACGGCAGAGCUUGAGCAAGCUAGGGGGCAAUGGAAUUCCCGGUGUAGUGGUGGAAUGCGUAGAGAUGUGGAGGAAUACCGAUGGCGAAGGCAGCCCCCUGGGCCAAUACUGACGCUCAUGCACGAAAGCGUGGGGAGCAAACAGG
rnacentral:rRNA from 1 species